rnacentral:rRNA from 1 species
UACAGAGGUCCCAAGCGUUGUUCGGAUUCAUUGGGCGUAAAGGGUGCGUAGGUGGCGCGCUAAGUCAGGUGUGAAAUUUCGGAGCUUAACUCCGAAACUGCAUUUGAUACUGGCGUGCUUGAGGACUGGAGAGGAGACUGGAAUUUUACGGUGUAGCAGUGAAAUGCGUAGAGAUCGUAAGGAAGACCAGUGGCGAAGGCGGGUCUCUGGACAGUUUCCUGACACUGAGGCACGAAGGCCAGGGGAGCAAACGGG